AGAGACCUAGGGUCUCCAGAAACAUCCUCUAGCUAUUUAGUUAAAUUUACAUUGUGACGAUUUUGAUGUCAUUACACUGGGAUUUUAUGACUAUUUAAAUCAUUAGAAUAGUAAAAAAAAAAAAAAGCAAACUAUUCAGACACGUUGGCAAUAUUGAAUCCAUUCACGUAACCAGACAAGUUUAAUGCACAGGAACAGAUGGAUUGAUGGCCCUGCUCAAUGAGC